UUUGCACACACCUGAAUUAGCCUUUCAAUUAGCUCAUAUCCCGUCAUGCCGGGUCAUCGGGUGACUUUGGCUGGAGACGAGGUUGGCCUCAUUAGGUUGCACGUCCAGGUCCCCAAAACAUCCGGAAAGUCUGCAGAGCUCACCUCAAAACAAACAAAAGUGGGCUAAAAGACAGUCUUUGUGUCCGCCUGCCGUCCUGCUCCCAAGUGUCACCUGUGUGUGUGAGUCCAAGAGGAAAAAAAGCUCCCACACAGAGAUAAAGAGUGGUUUGGACGGACACUAUUGGGAAGGAUUGUGCAGUUAAAAAAACAGCAAGCGGAUCCGUCGAGCUCCAGCUCGAGGCAUCGGUGUGUGUUUGAUCGACCGAGCGGAACCCACCGACAUGGCUUGCAGAUGUGCUAAUAGCAGAGCGACGGGGAAAGCCAUCAGACUGACGGCAAAGAACAAAAGUAAUUAAAGUGGAAAGGAGCCCGGAGCCAAAGCGCAAUGGCGGCUCCACCUUCCAAACUUCCAGAAGAUGGGGCGUGAAGAGGAUAUCAGAUAACAAGGCGGCGUCGCAUGCUCCGGGAACGAAGCGACGGGCCGUGGUAGAGCGCGACGAGGGCGGAGGGCCGAGUUCUCACUUCCAUUGUCUGGCCCUUCACAAAGCUCACGGCCAGCAUGCAAGCAAUCAAGAAACGUCUUCUCGUCACCAUCUCUUCACCGUUAGAGUUCCCGCACUCUUCGGAA